GACGAACGCUGGCGGCGUGCUUAACACAUGCAAGUCGAACGGAAAGGCCCUGCUUUUGUGGGGUGCUCGAGUGGCGAACGGGUGAGUAACACGUGAGUAACCUGCCCUUGACUUUGGGAUAACUUCAGGAAACUGGGGCUAAUACCGGAUAGGAGCUCCUGCUGCAUGGUGGGGGUUGGAAAGUUUCGGCGGUUGGGGAUGGACUCGCGGCUUAUCAGCUUGUUGGUGGGGUAGUGGCUUACCAAGGCUUUGACGGGUAGCCGGCCUGAGAGGGUGACCGGCAACAGGGGGAAUGAGAGACGGCAAAGACGAGUAAGGGAGGAAGAAGUGGGGAAGAUGGCAAAAGGGGAGGAAGCGUGAUGCAGCAACGACGAGUGAGGGAGGACGGCAUUAGGGUUGGAAAAAGCGGUCGACUGGGACGAAGAGGGAGGGACGGUAAUGGGUAAAGAAGAAAAGGAUAACUAAGUG
rnacentral:rRNA from 1 species